rfam:Camelus ferus unplaced genomic scaffold scaffold478, whole genome shotgun sequence.
GAGGGUAUAGCUCAAGUGGUAGAGUGCAUGCUUAGCAUGCACAAGGUCCUGGGUUCAAUUCCAGUACCUCCU